CCUCUAAUUAGUAUCUCCAAUGAGAGAUGGAAACUAUUUCGAAAUGAACAGUGUACUUUUUUUUUUUUUUUUAAAAAAACUCCACAGUAAGCUGAAAUUUGUUGAUGCAAAAUACACAACUCACUGGAAAAUGGAAAAAAUUAAUCUGUAUUUCCAUUUUUUUUCCAUCUCCCAGUACAUAGAAAAUGAUGGUAUUGCGCAGCUCCUCGCGCCCCUUGUUGAAUACUGGCUGUUCAAAAAAAAUAAAUUUUUUAAUGUAUCAGAAACAACAUGAAAUUCAAAACUGUAUAAAAGAGGAGCCCAAAAUUAUCAAAAGAGUUUGAGUGGCCCCGCCACUGAAGUUGAAAAAUUAAGAUUCAAAAUUUGAUGAACAGAAUUCCAAUAAGAAGAAUGUAACUUUUAGAUGAAAAUGGAGGGAUAGCAGUUCUUUCUUUCUUUCUCUCUCCUUAGAAAAUUUGUGAAAUUCUCUCUAGUUCUUCAAUCUGCAAUCAUCUUUGCCGCCAGCCCUAGCCUUUGGCUUGGGUGCUGGUGGCUACCUUGUCAAUUCUCCUUCCUCUUUCUGUCCUUCUCUUCUUUUUUUUUUUUCUCUCUUUUUCAAAUUUCUCCUGAGAUUUUUUUUUAGCUUAUGUGAACUUUGUCUCCAAUUUUCCCGUGAGUUUGUCUCACCUUUAAGCUUCAUGUCCCUCUUUUACUCCCCUCCCUCUCCUCUGACUAUUACUUUCCAAACCCAAAACUCCACCUCACCUCAUCUUUUCCUUAUGCCUCUCUUCCUCAUAUUCCAUUCCCACCUUGUCAUUUGCUCUGAUCUGCGGACUCCAAGACGGAUCCCUUAUUUCCCCCCCCCCAACCGGCAUGUCGAAUUUCCCUCGAGGCCAAGUGCUCUGCGGUUACGAGCAAAGGAUUGGUGAAUGGGUUUUGGAUCUGGUAACUAUUUUUUGGUUCUGCGUCUUUGGUGAAGAAAUUUGGAUGUUGUGUGCUUUUGGUUGUGGGUUUGGUAGUUUUGUGCGGUGUUGUCUUGGUCGGUUUCACCACUCUGUCGUUUCCUUUACUGUUGCAGCUUUGGCAGCUGGUGGCAUGACUUUUGUGGUGGUGACCACGGUGGACAUUGCUUUCUGCUGUCAGAGAUUAGAGAGUUGAGUUUCUUUUUUUACUUAUUUAAUUGGGCUAGGCUUUAUGUAUAUGGUUUCGCCCAAUGUAUUUGAGUUAUUUUGCCUUCCUUUGUGUUGGCCUGUAACCAUCUUUUGUUUUAAUGAAGUUUACUUUUCAUAUCAAAAAAAUAAAAAUGUAAAUUUUGUUGCAA